GAUGAACGCUAGCGAUAGGCUUAACACAUGCAAGUCGAGGGGCAGCAUGGUCUUAGCUUGCUAAGACUGAUGGCGACCGGCGCACGGGUGCGUAACGCGUAUGCAACUUGCCUCACAGAGGGGGAUAACCCGUCGAAAGACGGACUAAUACCGCGUACACUCUAUUUUGGGCAUCCAAGGUAGAGGAAAUGAAAUUCGCUGUGGGAUAGGCAUGCGUCCCAUUAGCUAGUUGGUGAGGUAACGGCUCACCAAGGCGACGAUGGGUAGGGGAACUGAGAGGUUGAACCCCCACACUGGUACUGAGACACGGACCAGACUCCUACGGGAGGCAGCAGUGAGGAAUAUUGGUCAAUGGGCGAGAGCCUGAACCAGCCAAGUCGCGUGAAGGAUGACUGUCUUAUGGAUUGUAAACUUCUUUUGUAGGGGAAUAAAGAGGGGCACGUGUGCCCCAGUGAAUGUACCCUACGAAUAAGCAUCGGCUAACUCCGUG
rnacentral:rRNA from 1 species